ensembl:lncRNA
AGAAAACACCGAAAGGUCAUCCAACGGUAACAAAUACUUCCUUAUAGCUUGCGACAAUGCGGGCAGGAAAACCGAAGCGUUUCCGAUGAAACAACAAACAGCGGCUAUAAUAACGAAGCGAUUAAGCCGCUACUUCAUGAAACAGGGUGGGGCUAUAACCCUUAAGACUCGACAAUGCUCCACACUUUAAGAAUGCCAAGAUUUUAGGUCUGCUAGAAUCGCUAGGCAUUCAACCCCUCUGGUCAAUCCCGUACAAAAGCAACACAAACGGUGUCGCCGAAAGGGCUGUGAGAUCAGUUAAGGAAUACAUUCUCACCAACUUAGGCAAAGAUUGGGAUACACCUGAGAAGCUUAUCAUGCUAAACAGACAUAUUUCCCUACCUAAAUUAAAGAGAAGUAUUCCGGAGGGGAAGGGACUAAUCCCGGCUGUUCUGUCAUCCUUUAAUAUAGGCGACACAGUCUGGGUUAGGAGAGGAAAGCAAAACCGCGGAAAGGGACCGAACUACCAUGACCUCCAGGGGACAGACAUGAUAGUAUCCAUCCAACGAAUUGUAUUACUCUCAAAAACGGAGAUUACGCCCAAAAGAUGCCAAACAUACCGGACAUGGACAGCGAUGGAACAGACCCGAAAAAGGUUAAUAAACCCGACCUUCAAGGAGAGGCCUCGCCACGCAGCCGCAAGAAAAGACUCACUGAACUCAUGAAGCGGGUAUCGUAUAAACUCACCAGAUUAAUGUUGGUCAUCAUCCUACUCAACAUCAUCACCCUGAUAGCCAAUCUAAGAGUGGUGGCGUGGAAGGUCAAGGUAACUCACACCACACACCAAGGCAACGUCAUGCAUUACUAUUACAAAACAGGACGCAUUCUGGUUUCCGAUCACACAUUUCUUACCACUAGCAAUAUAAGCACCACG